UUUGUUACGUUCAGUAAGCAGUUCCUGUCCUGUGAUGAUGAUAAUGCUGAUGCUGAUGCUGAUGCUGAUGAUGAUUAUUAUUAUUAUUAUACUCACCUUCUGCACCUGCUUCCUGACUCCCUGCAUAUACUUUAUAGAAUACUGCCUCAGAAAUUAUGGAAGCAGUAGAAAAUACAUCAUCUUCCAGACGGUUGAGGAACAGGGACAUCUACUCCACCAAGACCACGACCAGAUGGCUCUACUGGGUACGACCACGAAUGUGGUCCUCCGCAUUCUCCACUGCCUCGACACCACAAGCGAGGUUCUCCAUACCUCUGAUUGAGGGCCUCCUACAACAGGUCGUCACAGCGAGCCAGUCCCCCAGCCUAUUGAGUUGUCCGUCCAGACAGGAGCCCCCACCACUGAGAGGUCCAAGGUUGCCACGGUCAUUUCCCUGCUGACCGGAAGGGCAUUGGAGUGGGCUAUGGCCGUCUGGGAGGCAGGAGAGGAGGAGCUGGGUUCCUAUGAGAGGUUCAUGGCUCUCUUCACCGUUGACCGUCCUCUAGAGGGAGGUGAGCGACUUUUACAACUCCAGUAGGGUGUUCAGACCACUUCGUAGUACACCCUCACCAUUCAGACUGUGGCAGCCUCAAGCGGAUGAAAUGAGCUGGGACUCCACACUAUUCCACAGUGGACUGUACGAAGAGGUCCAGAUGGAGUUGGUAUGUCAGGAUGACAACAUAUCCUUGGACGCUCUGGCCAUCAUUCUGGAUAACCUUCUUCGGGAGCGCCGGUGUCCACCUUGUCACUCACCUCCCUCCUUGGACCCUUGGAGGUAGGGGCCACACCUCUCCGUGGCAGAGUGGCGUCGCCGGUGACAGCUGGAGCUCUGUCCCUAUUACAUCCAGGAGGGGCACCAGCUUCAGUGGUGUCCGGUACGUCACAACCCAGGGUCCACUACAGAAGAGGGGCAGCCCCGUGACCUUCCGUCUCACAGGGUAGGCGUGAGUAUUCCAUUAUCAUCGUUUUCCAUCAAACCCUUUGAUUCCCACUUCACUGGCUGGCUGUCCCUCAAGUGUUGUCUCUACAGCUCUAGUCGAUUCCGGUGCCGCGGGGAACUUUAUUGACCAGGCCCUCGCCUCCUCCCUGAACUUAACUUCAUACCCACUCUCCUCUCCUUUUCCUGUCCAAGCCCUGGAUAUGUGAUCAUUGGUAUCUGGCACAAUUAUUUGUGAAAUAAUUUUAUGUUGUAUUAUUCCAACCUCAUAGUGUGGAAAUAUUUAUAAAACCCUUUGACUGCACUGGGCCUUUCCAACCAUGGGUCUGCUGCAGGUGUUUGACAUAUAA